CAGUCGCCACGGUAAUACGUAGGGUGCAAGCGUUAAUCGGAAUUACUGGGCGUAAAGCGUGCGCAGGCGGUUAUAUAAGACAGAUGUGAAAUCCCCGGGCUCAACCUGGGAACUGCAUUUGUGACUGUAUAGCUAGAGUACGGCAGAGGGGGAUGGAAUUCCGCGUGUAGCAGUGAAAUGCGUAGAUAUGCGGAGGAACACCGAUGGCGAAGGCAAUCCCCUGGGCCUGUACUGACGCUCAUGCACGAAAGCGUGGGGAGCAAACAGGAUUAGAUACCCCAGUAUCCCUGUCUCUUAUACA
rnacentral:rRNA from 1 species